ensembl:lincRNA C230014O12Rik RIKEN cDNA C230014O12 gene
UUCAGCAAUAAGCCCGCGCGUGGCGCCCGGCCCAGAAAGGUACAAUAACUGUAUAUUUUAACUUAAUGGUUUUUUGGGGGGCAUGCAAAUUUCUGUGAGCAGAUUGUGUUGAGGCCUGGGCUUGGAGCGGCCUCCCUGAGCCCCAGAAGCCCCCCGGAGCACCCCCGGCUCAGUGAAGGUUGCCCGUGUCAAAAUCGAGAUAUCAAACACCGAGGCUGAAAGACAAGGUAGGAGGCAAGCUGAGGUCCAGAGAUGGCAUGACAGCCUGGAGUUCCACAGGGGCCAGCCUUGGGCAAGAUCCUGUGGAGCCUGAAUCCAAACUCAGCCCAAGAUAUUACUUCUGCUCUGGCUGAUUCCAUUUUCCUGCUCAGGGUCAACUCAUACAUCCAUCUUGCAAGGACCUCGUAGGACUCUGUGGUCAGGAAGCCACUUGGGGAGGACCCUCAGAUGAUGUUUUCUGGGGACAGUGAUAUUGGAACCUGUCUUCCCUCCCACCUCAGUGAGCCCUUGGGGAUGUCCAGCUCCAGGAGACAAGGUUAAGGAGGCCAGCAAAAUGGUGGCUUCUUCCCUUCUCACCCUGUUAUUCU